CAGUGUUACAGCUUUUUAAGAAUUUGUCCAGCAGGCUUUCUUGUUUUUACUGGAAGCCUCC
ensembl:snRNA U7 U7 small nuclear RNA